rnacentral:SRP_RNA from 2 species
CAGCACUAGACGGGGUAGUAGCGGUGCCCUGUAACCUACAAUCCGCUAUAGUAGGGUUGAAUUCCCAGAUUGAGACUUAUUGAUAGCUGAGAUGCGCUUAAUAAGUGGUGUUGACGAAUCGGUCUUAUGCAAUAGGAAGCUGUGAACCAUGUCAGGUCCGGAAGGAAGCAGCAUUAAGCAGUGCCUCCUAUGUGCCGUAAGGUAGCCGUUUCUGAGCUAACUGUUUCGAAAGCAACAGCUAAAGAUAAACCGAUACUGGGUGUGCG